CCCGGGAGGGGAGUGAAAUAGAACCUGAAACCGCGACACCUACAAACAGUCAGAGCACCAUGGCGGGGGUAACCUCGUCAAGUGUGAUGGCGUGCCUUUUGCAGAAUGACCCUGCGAGUUAUUGGCAGCGGCAAGGUUAAGUGUUUAAGACACGAAGCCGAAGGGAAACCGAGUCUGAAUAGGGCGUCAAGUCGUUGUCAGUAGACCCGAAACUGCGUGAUCUAGCCAUGGUCAGGAUGAAGUGUAGGUAACACUACAUGAAGGUCCGAACUCAUUGACGUUGAAAAGUCUCGGGAUGAACUGUGGUUAGUCCGGUGAAAUGCCAAUCGAACGCAGAGAUAGCUGGUUCUCCCCGAAAUGCAUUGAGGUGCAGCGUUGUUCGUUGUCAUGUGGGGGUAGAGCACUGAAUGGGCUAGGGGGCUUACCCGCUUACCGAACCCAACCAAACUCCGAAUACCAUAUGAUUAGAACAGCAGUGAGACUGCGAGGGAUAAGCCCCGUGGUCGAAAGGGAAACAACCCAGAUCAACAGCUAAGGGCCCUAAUGGGUGACUAAGUGUGAAACGAUGUGAGAUCGCAUAAACAGCCAGGAGGUUGGCUUAGAAGCAGCCAUCCUUUAAAAAGUGCGUAAUAGCUUACUGGCCGAUUGUGAUCUUGCGCGGAAAAUGUAAGGGGGCUCAAGUCACCACCCGAAGCUUUGGGAUCCCGUCUUGGACGGUGAUCGGUAGGGGAGCGUUGUGUAUGCAGAGAAGCUAGAGCGAAAGCACUGGUGGAGCGUACUCAAGUGAGAAUGCAGGGAUGAGUAGCGAUAAGACAGGUGAGAAUCCUGUCCGCCGAAAACCUAAGGUUUCUCCGACUAUGUUCGUCAGGCGGAGGUUAGGCGGACCUAAGGCGAGGCCAGAAGGCGUAGCCGAUGGACAGUGGGUCGACAUUCCCACCCCAGUAACAAUGCGAUGGAUGACGCUUCUUGAUACUCUGGACACACCGUUGGUUGUUGUGAUCCGAGCCUUCGGGCAAGGUACUCAGGGUUGAUAGGGGCCGCGAAAAACUCCUAAGCUUCAGUUGUUGCUGACCGUACUGCAAACCGACACAGGUAGGUGAGUCGAGGAGACUCAGGCGUUCGAGAGAACUCUCGUUAAGGAACUAGGCAAACGGGUCCCGUAACUUCGGAAUAAGGGACGCCUCCGCAAGGAGGCCGCAGCGAAGCAGCCCAGGCGACUGUUUACCAAAAACACAGGUCUCUGCUAAGGUGAAAACCGAUGUAUAGGGGCUGACGCCUGCCCAAUGCCAGUCGAUUAAUCUAAGUUGUUAGGGGCAACCCGAAGCAUCGAGGUGAAGUCCUGGUGAAUGGCGGCCGUAACUCUAACGGUCCUAAGGUAGGAAUUAAUGCAACUGCCUUAGUAAAAUCUAGCUAUAUGCUGGGAAGUCUGAGUAUCUCGGAUUACGAAUCGAAAGAUCGUGACAAUAUCCGAGCGCAGAUCAUCAGCAGGAAAGAUCCCGACCCUGUCGGGAAAUCCUCAGAGGCCAUACGCUAGAUAUUCGAAGGAUGGCACCUUCGGAUAAAGAAAUGGUCCCAUCUGCAUGGCGACAUGCAGGGAUGAUCCAGCUCAAGAUGGAUCGUCCACUCGAUCAUAAAGGUCGAGCAAGACAAUGAGCGAAAUUCCUUGUCGGCUAAAUACCGACCCGCAUGAAAGGCGUAACGACUUGGGCACUGUCUCAACGAGAAGCUCGGUGAAAUUGUAGCACCCGUGAAGAUGCGGGUUCCGCGCAGUAGGACGGAAAGACCCCGUGGAGCUUUACUACACCUUCAGAUUGUAAGCUGGUUGUAGAUGUAGAGCGUAGGUGGGAGCUUCGGCAUCAAUGGAACACCACCCUUCUACAUCUGGUUUACUAACCCGCACCGUUAUCCGGUGUGGAGACAUUCUGUGGCGGGUAGUUUGACUGGGGCGGUCGCCUCCCAAAAAGUAACGGAGGCGUACAAAGGCACACUCAGCCUGGUCGGAAAUCAGGCGUCGAGCGUAUAGGUAUAUAGUGUGCUUGACUGUGAGACAAACAAGUCGAGCAGGGACGAAAGUCGGUCUAAGUGACCCUCUGGUGGUGCGUGGGCACGCCAGGGUUCAUCGGAUAAAAGCUACCCCGGGGAUAACAGGCUGAUCUUGCCCGAGCGCUCACAGCGACGGCAUGGUUUGGCACCUCGAUGUCGGCUCGUCUCAUCCUGGGGCUGUACACGGUCCCAAGGGUUCCGGAGUUCACGGAUUAAAGAGGCACGCGAGCUGGGUUCAGAACGGCGUGAGCCAGUUCGGUCCCUAUCCACUGCGCGCGUAGGAUAUUUGAGGGGAGUCGCUCUUAGUACGAGAGGACCGGAGUGAACCGACCUCUGGUGUACCAGUUGUGCCGCCAGGCGCAGACGCUGGGUAGCCACGUCGGGCCGUGAUAAGCGCUGAAAGCAUCUAAGCGCCAAGCACACCCCAAGAUUAGAUAUCCCAUUUAGAAGUAAGGCCCCUGGAAGAUCACCAGGUAAUAGGUCGCAUGUGGAAGCGUGGUAACACGUGCAGCUGAGCGAUACUAAUAGGCCGAGGGCUUACAAAU
rnacentral:rRNA from 1 species